AUUGAACGCUGGCGGCAGGCCUAACACAUGCAAGUCGAACGAGUGGCGGACGGGAGAGUAAUGUCUGGGAAACUGCCUGAUGGAGGGGGUUAACUACUGGAAACGUUAGCUAAUACCGCAUACCAUCGGAUUUGCCCAGAUGGGAUUAGCUAGUAGGUGGGGUAACGGCUAACCUAGGCGACGAUCCCUAGCUGGUCUGAGAGGAUGACCAGCCACACUGGAACUGAGACACGGCCCAGACUCCUACGGGAGGCAGCAGUGGGGAAUAUUGGACAAUGGGCGAAAGCCUGACGCAGCAAUGCCGCGUGUAUGAAGAAGGCCUUCGGGUUGUAAAGUACUUUCAGCGGGGAGGCGGUACCCAAAGAAGAAGCACCGGCUAACUCCGUGCCAGCAGCCGCGGUAAUUC
rnacentral:rRNA from 1 species